CAAGGAAUAGUUUAGUUUAGAAUCCUAGCUUUGGGAGUUAGGGGCGAGGGUUCAAAUCCCUCUUCUUUGA